rnacentral:lncRNA from 1 species
AUGGGAAAGUUAGAGCUGAAGCUCCCUCCAAAUGAUUACUGGGGCAAGGUAGCUGUACACAGGAAGCUCUCUUAUACUUUGUGUCUGCUGAGCUGGCCCUGGACUGGCGGUCUUGAUGCCGUGAUGGAGCUACCCUAUGAGGAGGACAUGGUAACUGCACAAACGGGGACUGUUGACAAAAACCUUUUGGAGGCAGCUGGACCAGAGAUGCUGAUGAAAAAGAGACAAGAACAAAGACUCUACUCAAGUCCUACACUGAGGAUAUAUCAUAGCAUAUGAUGAACUCUCAAACCCAAUACCCUGGGCCUAUGCCAAACUGACAAGUCUUGAAGCGUUGAACAAAAUGUCUAUCAUGGAACAUUUCAGAACAGAACCAAAGAUUCAUCACCAAACUGUUGGCAACAGUAUGAUGGACUUUUUAAACCUUAAUGGAGGUGACUUUCUAUUAUUGUGAUUUGGCAAAAUAUAUUGAUGUGUUGUUCAAAAAAAAGUACACAUCAAAAAUUUGUGGAUCUUUUGAAGGACUUAAAUAAUGAAGUAUAUAACUAUGGGCAUGAAGUACUUUUAGAACAAUAAAGGAGGAAGGCAUAAAGAGAUGUUUUGGAUG